CCUACGGGGGGCAGCAGUCGAGAAUCAUUCACAAUGGGGGAAACCCUGAUGGUGCGACGCCGCGUGGGGGAAUGAAGGUCUUCGGAUGGUAAACCCCUGUCAUGUGGGAGCAAAUUAAAAAGAUAGUACCACAAGAGGAAGAGACGGCUAACUCUGUGCCAGCAGCCGCGGUAAUACAGAGGUCUCAAGCGUUGUUCGGAAUCACUGGGCGUAAAGCGUGCGUAGGCUGUUACGUAAGUCGUGUGUGAAAGGCGCGGGCUCAACCCGCGGACGGCACAUGAUACUGCGAGACUAGAGUAAUGGAGGGGGAACCGGAAUUCUCGGUGUAGCAGUGAAAUGCGUAGAUAUCGAGAGGAACACUCGUGGCGAAGGCGGGUUCCUGGACAUUAACUGACGCUGAGUCACGAAGGCCAGGGGAGCGAAAGGGAUUAGAUACCCCAGUAGUC
rnacentral:rRNA from 1 species